AGCCCAGCCCUAUUUAAAGCCUUGUUCCGUGUGCCCCUUUUAUACUUUGAGCACCUGCCCCUCCAAAGGUCUCAGCAUGGCAGGGAACCGAACUGUAGUCCACUUGGAAGAGAACCUGUUGAUCUCUUUCAUACUUUUGCUCAACUUGCUCAUCAGUGUUGUUCAUGAACGCGCUAAAAGAGCCUGUUCAUUAAACCUUUUCAGAUUGAAGGCUUUAAACCUCUAUCAUUUUAAUCUUGUUGCACACCAUAAUAAGACUUGUGCCUAAGAUAGAAAAUAUAUCAUCUUUCAGAACCAUGAAGGCUCCAUAAUUUCACACUCUGAAAUGUACACAAAACAACCGUUCAAACACAAGCUAGGAGCUACGAUCACUUUUUGGCAAGUGGAAACGUGCAUUUUAUGGAUGUAUUGCUUCUUAAAGAAUGUAUUUAAACUGGU